rnacentral:rRNA from 1 species
GACGAACGCUGGCGGCGUGCUUAACACAUGCAAGUCGAGCGAUGAAGCUCCUUCGGGAGUGGAUUAGCGGCGGACGGGUGAGUAACACGUGGGUAACCUGCCUCAUAGAGGGGAAUAGCCUUCCGAAAGGAAGAUUAAUACCGCAUAAGAUUGUAGUACCGCAUGGUAUAGCAAUUAAAGGAGUAAUCCGCUAUGAGAUGGACCCGCGUCGCAUUAGCUAGUUGGUGAGGUAACGGCUCACCAAAGCGACGAUGCGUAGCCGACCUGAGAGGGUGAUCGGCCACAUUGGGACUGAGACACGGCCCAGACUCCUACGGGAGGCAGCAGUGGGGAAUAUUGCACAAUGGGGGAAACCCUGAUGCAGCAACGCCGCGUGAGUGAUGACGGUCUUCGGAUUGUAAAACUCUGUCUUCAGGGACGAUAAUGACGGUACCUGAGGAGGAAGCCACGGCUAACUACGUGCCAGCCGCCGCGGUAAGAC